rnacentral:rRNA from 1 species
GUCUACAGCCAUGCUACCCUGAACAAGCCCAAUCCCGUCUGAUCUCGGAAGCUAAGCAGGGUCGGGCCUGGUUAGUACUUGGAUGGGAGACCACCUAGGAAGAUCGAGUGCUGUAGCCA